AUGUCGCCAGCUUCCGAGGCAGCUCCGCCAUGUGCGCCGCCCGGGGCUCCCUCCGCGGACGCAGGGCCGCCGCUCUGCCGGGUGAAGCGAAACCGGCGGAGGGGCGCUGGCCCCGCCCCGCCCCGCCGCGGCGAUGACUCAUUAAUGCAGCAAUUAGGCCUGAGUCAGCCCCGGGCGGCGGCGGGCGCGCGCGGCGCGCUCCCGGGAGGCCGCGGCGGGGGCAAAGCGGCGGAGAGCGGUGUGCGGCGAGGAGGCGGCGACGCGGGGGCCUGCCCCGCCGCCGCCCGAACUGCGCCACACACUCACACGCGCGCGCGCGCGCUCACACAAACACACUCACGCGCGCGCGCGCGCGGGUCACGCGGCGCGCCGCCAUCUUGUGCGGCCGCCAUCUCCCCGCCGGCCCGAGCCCGCCCGCUCGCCGACUCACCGUUUUCGUCAAAUAAAGACAUAAACCCAACGCUGCUCGCCCGGGACUGGGAUGAAGUGAGGCGCGCGAACCCAAGUCCGAGGAGCGACGGCGGAGGCGGCGGAGGCAGCGCAGCGAGCAGCGGCCGGGCCAGGCGCCGCCGAGCAGCGGGGAGGGGCUGUCCCAGCGACGUCCGGGGUCCACACCCUUCAGCGCCCGGGGCCUGGCGACCUGGCGCGGAGAGACGGCGCACAUCUGUAUCAGCACAGCCAGUGGUUGCAAAGAAGACACUUCUGUGCCAGGACCGAAGUCCCACCGUGUUGCUAGGUAAUGUUUUGUUCACUACUGAAUUGAAGUGUUUGAAGCAUUUAAAUAUGUAGUUUUAAAAGUUUAAGAGUUUUUACUUAAACUGGUUUGUCAGGGAGACUGAACAUCAAUCAAAGAAGGCCCCUGGUAAAUGACUGUUAAAAUUGAGUGGAUUUAUAAAGGGGCUUCCCUGGUAGCUCAGCUGGUAAAGAAUCCGCCUCCAAGGCAGGAGACCCAGGUUUGAUUCCUGGGUCUGGAAGAUCCCCUGGAGAAGGGAUAGGCCACCCACUCCAGUUUUCUUGGGCUUCCCUGGUAGUUCAGACAGUAAAGAAUCUGCCUGCAAUGCAGGAGACCUGGGUUCAAUCCCUGGCUUGGGAAGAUUCCCUGGAGGAGGGCAUAGCAACCCACUCCAGUAUUCUUCUGGAGAAUCCCUAUGGACAGAGUGUAAGGCCGGACCACGGUGGCCAUCUUGGCUUUUCCUCCCCCUCUUCCCUUUCCUGCCGGUGGGAAAAAGCCCCGCCAGACUCUGACUAUUGUGCUCUAUUCUCUCAUUCCCUCCCCCACUGCUGGAGUGUCCUUGAUGUAUCGGUUCCUGGUAGAGAUCAACCCUCUCCUAAUGGAGAAGACUCUUGAGAGUCCCUUGUACUGCAAGGAGAUCCAACCAGUCCAUUCUAAAGGAGAUCAAUCCUGGGUGUUCAUUGGAAGGACUGAUGCUAAAGCUGAAACUGCAAUACUUUGGCCACCUCAUGCGACGAAUUGACUCACUGGAAAAGACUCUGAUGCUGGGAAAGGUUGGGGGCGGGAGGAGAAGGGGACGACAGAGAAUGAGAUGGCUGGAUGGCAUCACCGACUUGAUGGACAUGAGUUUGAGUGAACUCCGGGAGUUGGUGAUGGACAGGGAGGCCUGGCGUGCUGUGAUUCAUAGGGUCGCAGAGAGUCGGACACGACUGAGCGACUGAACUGAACUGAACUGAACUGAACCUCCCCCUCCUAACCUCGUGUCCAGAAACAGCAUUCUGCCCAGAAACAGCAAGAACUAUUCUGCUGCGUCAGCACAACACUGAGCAGAUGGGGCAACAAACCCAGUCUUGUCUCCCCGCAACUGACCUAUGAGGGACCACCACUCCAAAUCUUGCCUAAAGCUAUAUAAGUUGCCUCUUGCUUUUGUUCCGCGCCGACUUCCUCAACCUUGCUCUGAUGGGUCCUGGAAUCCUGCCCAGGGGCGCCUAGCCAUUAAAGCCUGUUAUAUUAUCUAUUUGGCAUCUAGGUUCUUUUUUAACAUCAUUGGGCCAUUUUGACCUUACACAGAGGAGCCUGGCGGGCUAUUGUCCAUGGGGUCCCAAAGAGUCGGACACGACUGAAUGACUAAGCACAGAACAUAGGGUUUAUAAACAUAAAAGAUUUUUAAUUUGGACAUCAAUGCUUAAGGAAAAACU
rnacentral:lncRNA from 1 species